rnacentral:misc_RNA from 1 species
CCUGCCGUUAGCUGCAGAAACCCUCGAGCCCCACUCCAGCAGCUCUUUGCUGGUAUCAUCCUUGUGCGCAAUCACCUCAAUGAAACAUAAACUCUCUUUCUGUGGCCCAGUAGCAGCCUCGAUCGCCUCCUUCAGCUCCUCCUCACAUUUCACCUUUGCAGUCCAGCAUUUUCCCUCGCCAUUGUGGAUCGCCUCCACUAGACCAGUGUAGUUCCAGUUCUUGAUCACGUUGUAAGGGCCAUCGUGAAUCUGCACCUCAAUCGCGUAUCCACCAUUGUUGAUGAGGAAAAUGAUGGUGUUCUGCCCGCACCUUAACAUCGUUGACACAUCCUGAGCCGUCAUCUGAAAGCUCCCAUCACCGAUGCAGGCAAUCACCCGCUUCUCCUUAGCAGACUGCGCGUAACCCAGUGUUGCUCCCACAGACCAUCCAAUUGAUGCAUACUGCAUCUGGAACUCAUAUCCACAACCCUCUGG